GAGAGAGAGAGAGAGAGGCUGAAGGGAGAGGGUAGAGAGAGAGAGGGAAAGAGAGUGUGGAGAGGGGGGAGAGAGAGAGAGAGAGGCUGAAGGGAGAGGGUAGAGAGAAAGAGGGAAAGAGAGAGAGAGAGAGAGAUAGAGAGAGAGAGGGAAAGAGAGUGUGGAGAUAGACUACAGACAGAGAAAAAGAAAGAGCUAGAUGGAGACAUAGAGAGAGAGAGAGGGAAAGAAAGAGAGGCUAGAAUGAAAGAAAAGGAAAGAGAUGUAGAAAAGAGGAGAGAGUGAGAGAGGAAAGAGAGGGCCUAGGUAGAGAAAGUGAGAGGGGGGAGAGAGAAAGAGGGAUAGAGAGAGGGAGUAGG
ensembl:lncRNA